rnacentral:rRNA from 1 species
AACGAACGCUGGCGGCAGGCCUAACACAUGCAAGUCGAGCGAGGACUUCGGUCCUAGCGGCGGACGGGGGAGUAACGCGUGGGAACGUGCCCUUUGCUUCGGAAUAGCCCUGGGAAACUGGGAGUAAUACCGGAUGAGCGCUUUUGGGGAAAGAUUUAUCGGCGAAGGAUCGGCCCGCGUUGCAUUCGGUAGUUGGUAGGGUAAUGGCCUAUCAAGCCGACGAUCCAUAGCUGGUUUGAGAGAAUGAUCAGCGACACUGGGACUGAGAGGCGGCCCGGAAUCCUACGGGAGGGAGCAGUGGCUGAUCGUAGACAGUGGCGUAAAUGCUGAUCGAGUCAGGCCGGGAAAGCGAUGAAGUCCUUAGGGUAGUAAAGCUCUUUCAGCUGGGAAGAUAAUGACGGUACCAGCAGAAGAAGCCCCGGCUAACUCCGUG